rnacentral:rRNA from 1 species
CAGUAGCCGCGGUAAUACGUAGGGUGCGAGCGUUAAUCGGAAUUACUGGGCGUAAAGCGUGCGCAGGCGGUUGUGUAAGGCAGGUGUGAGAUCCCCGGGCUUAACCUGGGAACUGCGCUUGUGACUGCACAGCUAGAGUAUGGCAGAGGGGGGUGGAAUUCCACGUGUAGCGGUGAAAUGCGUAGAGAUCGGGAGGAACAUCAGUGGCGAAGGCGGCCAUCUGGGACAACACUGACGCUGAGGCACGAAAGCGUGGGGAGCAAACAGGAUUAGAGACCCCAGUAGUCCCUGUCUCUUAUAC